GAUGAACGCUGGCGGCGUGCCUAAUACAUGCAAGUCGAGCGAACGGACGAGAAGCUUGCUUCUCCGAUGUUAGCGGCGGACGGGUGAGUAACACGUGGAUAACCUACCUAUAAGACUGGGAUAACUUCGGGAAACCGUAGCUAAUACCGGAUAAUAUUUUGAACCGCAUGGUUCAAAAGUGAAAGACGGUCUUGCUUUCACUUAUAGAUGGACCCGCGCUGCAUUCGCUAGUUGGUAAGGUAACGGCUUACCAAGGCAACGAUGCAUAGCCGACCUGAGAGGGUGAUCGGCCACCCUGGAACUGAGACACGGUCCAGACGCCUACGGGAGGCAGCAGUAGGGAAUCUUCCGCAAUGGGCGAAAGCCUGACGGAGCAACGCGGCGUGAGUGAUGAAGGUCUUCGGAUCGUAAAACUCUGUUAUUAGGGAAGAACAUAUGUGUAAGUAACUGUGCACAUCUUGACGGUACCUAAUCAGAAAGCCACGGCUAACUACGUG
rnacentral:rRNA from 1 species